UACUAAUGGAAAUUUGUCGGUUCUAACGGGGAGCAGCCGUUAGAGGUAACGGGGAAAGUUCGGUGUAAAUCCGGCGCUGUCCCGCAACUGUAAUGAGAUUUAUGUCUCUAAGUCAGAAUGCCCGCCGAAGGUGAAAAAAUUAC
rnacentral:ncRNA from 2 species